rnacentral:rRNA from 1 species
AAUCAACGCUGGCGGCGUGCCUCAGACAUGCAAGUCGAACGAUUAAAGCUCUCUUCGGAGAGUGCAUAGAGUGGCGCACGGGUGAGUAACACGUAAGUAAUCUACCCUCGAGUGGGGAAUAACGUCCGGAAACGGGCGCUAAUACCGCAUAAUGCAGCGGCAUCAUAAGAUGACAGUUGUUAAAGAUUUAUCGCUUGAGGAGGAGCUUGCGGCAGAUUAGCUAGUUGGUAAGGUAACGGCUUACCAAGGCUACGAUCUGUAACCGGUCUUAGAGGACGGUCGGUAACACUGACACUGAAUAACGGGUCAGACUCCUACGGGAGGCAGCAGUCGGGAAUUUUGGGCAAUGGGCGAAAGCCUGACCCAGCAACGCCGCGUGAAGGAUGAAGUAUUUCGGUAUGUAAACUUCGAAAGAAUAGGAAGAAUUAAUGACGGUACUAUUUAUAAGGUCCGGCUAACUACGUGCCAGCAGCCGCAGUAAAAC